GCGUGAGUGUUCUGUGGAAAUACUGGGUGGAAAUGAGAAUCAAGGAACCCAGUUGGAGAAACUGAGUCACGGUGAGAGCUGAGACUGAGAUCCUGGAGGUUGUCUGGGGCAGAUCUGGGCUCUAGUGGGGAUCCUGCGGUGGGCACUGUUUGCUGUCUGGCUUACCUACAACUAGAGAAAGCUUCAGCUGCACCCCGGAGGGAAUUAGUCAAUUCCUGGAUCCUUCCCUUGCCCUCUCCCAGAGCAGUUGAUUCAGUUUCCGUUGUAAUGAGAUCUCCAGGGACUUUGUAGACAAAAUAAUGACGGUCUUUGAGUGACCAAGAGGAUAGCGAAGAUUUGGUUUAUUUAUAACCAUGUAUAAGGGGCGGGGGAAGGGACGGACACAUGACAAGCACACUCGGAGCCCAGAGGCAGGCACUGGAUCCCUCAGAACUGGAGCUAUAGGUGUUUGUGAACCACUGGGCACGUGCACUGGGAACAAGAGUCCUCUGAAAAGGAAGCACUUACGCUCUUAGCUCUUAAGCCCAUCGUGCCCACUUUUUGACCUUCUUCCGGUUUGCUGUUGCCUUUUAUCAGACAGCAGUGUCUAUAGUCUGGAUUCAUAGUGAAAGAGCCAGGUUCUAAACAUUUGUGCUAUACUUACUUAUAAGCAGUGGAUAUUAGAAAACUACUUUUGGGGGUGUAUAGAGGAAGAGUACAGAGGAGAAAAUACCAGGAAGCUUCAUGAUCCUGACUGUCUCAGGCCAAAGGCAUAAGGGAGAAAAAUACUCACUGAACUCCGUCAGAAUGAAAAACCUCCAUGUACUCGGGAAAGAACCCUACUACAAUGUAGUGAAUCCACAGUGACCCCACACUCUUGGAACCAGCUACUGGUGGGGAAAUGGCUCAGCUGCUAAGAUGUUUGCUAUGCAAGCAUGAGGUGCUGAGUUCAGAUGCCCCAAACCCACAUAAAAAGCCAGCUCUGCUGACACACAUCUGUGACCCAGCCUUGGGGUGACAGAGACACGAUAGCUCCUGGCUGGAGGGGAUGAAGUGAUGACUGAGCAGUUGGGAACGCUUGCUACUCUUCCAGAAGACCCAAAUUCCGUCCCUAGUAGCCACCGUCUGAGUCUCACUAUUGCCUAUAUAGCUCCAGAGGACCUGACACCCUCUUCUGUCCUCCAUGGGUACCCAUACUCACAUAGCAUAGACACAGAGAGACCUACACAUACACUUAAAUAAAACCAGAAGUAAAUGUUUAAAUAAAAUAAGGAGGAGAUCAAUCAAGAAAGGCUUGUGGUACUCUCUGACCACAAACAAGUACACGCGAGUGCACACACACACACACACACACACACACACACACACGCACACACACACGCAGAUGACAAACACACAGAGAGUGCCAAAAGACAUAAAGAAAAUUGGAACUCUUAUGCACUGCUGGUGAGAAUGUAAAAUGAUGCAGCUUUAAGAAGCUCCAACUGGGGAGCCAGGUGUAAUGGGGCACACGGUUAAUCCCAGCACCUGGGAGGCAGUGGCAGGCAGGUCUCUGAGUUUGAGCCUAGCCUGGUCUACAGAAUGAGUUUCAGGACAGCCAGGGCUACACAGAGAAACUGUGUCUCAAAAAAAGACAGACAGACAGACAGACAGACAGACAGAAAGAAAGAAAGAAAGGAAGGAAGGAAGAAAACAACAACAAAGCCCCAUCACUACCACCAACAAACGACCCCAAAAUAUUACCAUAUGACCUAGUGACUCUAUUUUAGUCCCAAAGGAAUUGCAAGUAGAAAAGUGAAAACACAUUUGCAUGCCUGUGUUCUUAAGAGCAUUGGCCACUACAGCCAAAACCCAUGAGCAACCUAAGAGUUCAUUGGUGGCUGACCCAAGAAAGCAUGCUGGGUACACUCAGUGGUUAGGUGCAAAGGAAGGGAAGUUUCUACGAUGAUGGAAUAAUCUUCAGACUUUCAAAGGAGGGGGCUCCACACACCACACACACACACACACACACACACACACACACACACACACACACACACCCCGUAACCCUAAUGGAUCUUGAAAACACUACAUCCAGUGAAACCAGCCAGCCACACAAGGAUAGAGCUGUAUGCAUCUAUGAGUCAAGUUCAAAGUGACACGGGGAGAAAGGCAGUGGGUGGGGGAUGUGCUGGACGUGCAAGGAAUCUCAGAAGUCAGUCUGGGGAGGUAACGAGUACUUGGUGUUGAUGGCAGUGUGGCACUCUGGAUUGCACAGAACUGUGCCUGCAAACUGUGCCUACAAAUGGUUGGAACUGUAUGCUUCACACAUAAUUAUGUUACGCUCAUGUAUUUUACCAUCAUGAAGUGAAAGCGACAUAUAAACACAUGCUUCUACUGAUCUCAAAUUCCCCCCAGAUUGAAUUUGAUAGGCCAAAAAUGUGCUUUUAAAAACCUUUAAGGGUGGCGCACGGUGCUUUAAUCCCAGCACUGGGGAGGCAGAGGCAGGUGGAUCUUUUGAGUUCAAGGCCAGCCUGGUCUUCAGAGUUGAGUUUCAGGACAGCCAGGGAUAUGCAUAAACCCUGUCUCAAAAAACAAAAUCCACUAAAGGGCUGGUGAAAUGGCUCCGUAGGUUACCUCCUGAGGUGCUUACCUCACAGGCCCACGUCCAAUACCCAGAACCUAUGUAAAAGGUGGAAGAGGAACAGCUCGUCACAGAUGCUCUCUGACUUCCACAUCCACCCACGUACACACACCAAUAAACAAAAAUAUCCAUAAAACCAGGCAUGGUGCCAGGCACCUGUAAUCCUACCGCUCUGGGGACUGAGACAGGGGGAGCUGAAGUUCAACGCCAGCCUAAACUACAUAGCAAGACCUUGUCUCAAAAAAAAAAUUAAAAAAAAAAAAAAACUUGAUUUGAAAUUGUUGAAUGGGUACAGAGCUUCAAUUCUGCAAGAGGACGAAGUUUACAGGUUGGGUGGGCAAUCAUGAACUUAGACACUACUGGCCUGUACACUCUCCGGUGGUUAAGAUGGCAGACUCCUUGCUGUCUAUUUUACAAUUAAAACUUUUAAGAGUAUACGUAACAAGGCUGGGCAUGGUGGCGCAAGCCUAAAAUCUCAGCAACACUCAGGAGCCUGAAGUAAGAGGAUCGUGAGUUCCACAUCAGACUGGAUUAUGUUUAAAAAAAAAACAAAAACAAAAAACACAUGUGCCAAGCGUCUGCUGAAAACUGGGGAAUGGUGACUGACAGCCACAGGGAUGAGGAAACCUCAGUGGUUGUUCGGGAAGUUAACUGGGGCAUUCUCUGGGCAGUCCCUCCCAGUCUCAAGCCAUAGGAACUAGGAGAUGGGCGAAAGCAGACUGAAGGCCCGCCCAGACUUUCUGAUUUUGAUGACCUGGGUGGAGGGAGGACUUUGAAUUUCUAAUAAGUCCAAGCUGAGGAACCGGGUGAUGCUGGCCUCCCAACUGCUCUCCCUCCUUCGCCUCUCCGGAGAGAGAUAGCAUCUGUCCUAGGUAGAGUGCAGAGUACACUCAAGGGUUCUCAAGGGACCAGGACCCUCCAUACUAACAGACAUUUACCAGGACCUACUAGCCUGCCCUCUCCACAAUAAGGGGAGGCUAUGGAAACUGUCACCAAUCAUUGUAAGCUUAACAGAUUUCUAAAGUCCAGAGAAUCAACACAUGAGGAAGUAGAGUCAAUCAAACCAACAUGGUCAAAACACACACAGACACACACACACGCACACAGACACACACACAGACAGACACACACAGACACACAGACAGGCACACACAUAUGUAGACAUACACACACACAGACACACAGACACAGACACACAGACACACAGACACACAGACAUAGACACACAUGGACACACACACGGACACACACACACAUAGACACACACAGACACACAGACACACAGACACAGACACACACAUUAUUCUCACACUUUAGAGACCACAAAGAGGACAAAAAAAAAAAAAAAAAAGGAGGAGAAAGAGACUGGAAGAAAACGGUUAAGCCUAAUACACACAAAACACGCCAAUAUUGAGUUUACUUACAAACUGGAAUUCAUUUCAGUUGUUUUAAUCACUUUUAGACUGUAGGCAUUCCUGAAGCCACCCCCCUGGAUCUAAAUGAAGACUGCAUCCAGGCCCAGAUACGGUGGCCCACAUUUGUCUGCUCAGCGGUCUAGAGGCUGAAGCAAGAUGACCAUGAAUUUGAAUCUUCUCACUUCUCAAAGAGACCCUAUCUUUAAAGUAAACAGAAAUAAAAAGAAAUCUAGAAUAGAUCAAAAAAUGGAUCAGGUCCAUUUCUGCAGAAGGUUCCCUGCCCAGCCAAUGACCCCCAUAGCUCUCCCUCCAUCCCCUAGACGCCUCUUCCGAAGCCUCAUACAAAUGGAACCAAAGACUCCAUGCCUGUGUAGGCAGUACCUUGUCCUCUGUCAUUGUAUCCCACAGAUGAGUGUCACACUGCUGUUGGUGAACACUCAGGUUGUUACCACUUAGCUCUUGUAAGUGACACUAAGACUAUUCAUAUACAUUCAUGCUGAAGGAUUUCUGUCUUGGGUCUGUGUUGACUGCCAUUGUUUGGACAUAAGAUUUACUUGACUUUAAUACCAUGCAGUAUCUGAGAAUUCCAAUUGUCCUAUGUACUUACCAAUACCAGACAAUAUCAUUGUUUAAAUUACUGUAAAUGAUAAGGGAGAGGCAUGCAUAGCUCUGAUUUGCAUAAUCUAAUGAGUAAUAAUAAGUCAGUCUUUAUAUACUGACUAUUUGAAUAUCUCUCUUCAGUCUUUAGCCUGUUUUGUUAUGGGAUUGAUUUUUUUUAUUGGUUUAUUAAGGAUCUUUACAUAUGAUAUAUACCCUUUGACAAAGAUAUGUGUAUCUUUAGUUAUUCUCUACCAGUCUGUGGCUUCCCUUCUUUAUCUUAUGAUUUUGGUCUUCUGGUUAUGAGAAGCCUUAAUGAAAUUGCCUAUCAAGUUGUUUGUUAACUUACACUUCUUUGUAUUCUAUUUUGAAAACAGAUGCUUAACCUCAAGUCCAUGGAGACAUUCUGCCAUGCUUCCUUUUAGACAUUUUUAAAGAUUUAUUUUAUUUUUCACUGUGAGGUGCAGGGCAUGUGCACUUGAGUGCAGGUACCUUCAGAGGCCAGAAGAAAGUGUGUGCACCUGGAGUUGGAAUUAAAGGUGGUUUGCAGCCCAGUUGGUGUGGGCGUUGGGAACAGAGCUCAGACCCUCUGCAAGUGCUUUCAACUGAUGAGCCAUCUCUCCAGUCCUGCCUUUAAAAAUCUGUAUUAUAGCAAUAGCUUUUGUCUUUAUACCUAUAAUCCAACAUGUAACCUGUGUAUGUUGUGAAGGAUCCAGUUCUUCCCUCCCUCCCUCCUUCCCUCCCUCCCUCCCUCCCUUCCUCCUCCCACCUCUCUCUUCCCUGGAACCCCAAAUGACUCAACUUCAUGUAACAGCAUUUUACUGAUCAGCACCUCCACUGACUUGCUAUUCGAAUGCCUGUCUGAAGUCAUGUGAUCGAGUGAGUGAGACUGAGUGGACCCUCCAAUCUAUUUCAACGGUCCAUCUGCUGUAAUUACGUCAGGUUUUUUUGCGGGGAGGGGGACAGGGUUUUUCUGGCGGUGGUGCCGGUUCCUUAGGUAAGGCCUCAGUUUGUAGCUCUGUCUGGCCUAGAACUCACUAUGCAGACUCACUAUGUUGUCUAAUUGUCAGAGAUCCACCUGCCUCUACUUCCCAAGUGCGGGGAUUAAAGGCGGGCACCACGAUCAUGAUCAUUGGUUAGUUUGUUUUGUUUUGCUUUGUUUUGUUUUUGUUUGAGAUGGGGUCUUGCUGUGUAUCCCUGGCUGUUCUGGAACUCCUUUCUAGAUCAGGCUGGACUUGAACUCACAGAGAUCCACUUGCCUCUGCCUCCCAAGUGCUGGGAUUAAAGGUGUGUACCACCAACCCAAGUUGAGUUAGUUUGUUUUUAAUAUAGGUUUAGAGCGGGUGGUGGUCCUCUUAAUUCCACCCACCUUUAGCUCUUGCUUUCCCAGGUCUUUUGCACUAAAUGUGGACUAAACUCCUCAGUGUUCACUAAGAUAAAACUGGACUUUUUGGAGUUACAGAUCGCUCUGAGGUGCCUGAUGUGGGUGCUAGGAAUGAAACUCCGAUCCUCUGGAAGAUCAGGACAUGUUCAUAACCACUGAGCCAUCACUUAAGCAGAGGGUAAAUUUUUUAGAACUAAAAUUAUGGGGCCCAUGCAACAACCAUGAUCAGAGGCAACUAUUUACGACUAAACUAUGUGGCUUUCUCACUUUGCACAGCAAGUUGUCUCAAGGCUUUGCUAUCUGCAGACACAACCUUGUGUGAAGAUUCUGACUAUGGCGACACAAACUUGCUCUUGGCUUUGUCAUCAAUCAGUCUAAGCAUCUUGCUUGUACCCCUGCCUGGGGAGGCAGGUGAGAGCCACGGUUCCAAGUGUGGGCUUGGAGAUGGACAAAGGUAGUUAAAAUAUCAUCUUGUUCUGAUGCAUGAGGGAUGUGUCUCUAACAGACUCCUUAACAUAUGAGACUUUUGGGGCUGGAGAUGAAGCAGUGGUUAAAAAUUUGGGAUGUUCUAUCAGAGGACCCAAGUUCAAUACUGAAGAAAUAAAGUUUCAUAGAUGAGAAAAACAAAGUUAUAAAAACAAGGUUUUGAGAAAUACAUCUGGUGGUCAGGAUGCCUAUGACAAACUUGUGACCUUUCUGAGAGAUACAUCUGAUGUCAUGAUGCCCAGUGAUAUGACAGAGUUUUGGUGAUUAAGAUUCUGACUAAGCUAAUCAAGACAAAACAAAAACAACUGUUCUCAGAAAGAUCCCCUACCCCUCCCUGUGGUAAAUUCCAAGAACAACCUCAAGAUGUCAUCCUGACCCUGCCCGGCCACCCAGUUCACCCCCCCCCCCCUCUAAGGGACGUGCCAACUUAGCCCUUUCCCAGUGAUUCACCAAGGCCAGGUGUACGGCUGCAUGAGGAAAGUGACCAACUGAGCCAAGAACAGCCCCUUGAGCAGGCCAGCCAAUACCUGACCAGAUCCUUUGUCCUGUGCACCACCAAUGAGAAUGGGCCAGCUAACCCUGUUGCUCUGUAACGAAUAAAAGAUGUGUGCUUUUUGGGUUCGGGGUUGCCUCUCCCUGUGUGGAUGAGCAACCCCACGUACGUGGAUUAAAAAACCUCAUGCUAUUGCAGCAGUCACUUUGUCAAUCUGUGCUCUGUGGGUUGCGCUCCUGAGGUGAGGCCAUUAUGGGGUCUUUCAACAAUACCUAGCACCCAUCUGGCAGCUCACGGCAAUCUAUAACUCCAGUUUCAGGAGAUCUGAUGCUGUCUGAGAGCUCCGUGUUUGCAUGCACUGCACAGACACACAUUCAGGAAAACACUCACUUGCAUACAUACAUACAUACAUACAUACAUACAUACAUACAUACAUACAUCUUUAAAAUGAGACAUACAAGACUUUCACAGGCUCCAGUUCCAACAGUGGUGACUAUGUCAAAGGUACAUCGUGGGAACUGCUCAGAAACUUGAAACACCCAGAGAGCAUCAGACUUUCAAGGAAUGCUGUCUGCUACCAUUGGGGCGAGGUUGUCUCCUGAAAGAAUGACUCUGUAAGGCAGGAAAUGCAGAGUGGAGAGGGAGGACAGGAACUCCCUGGAACUCAGCAACAGGACUCAGGCCCCAUGAAAAAGGAACUGGCCGAAGGCAGCUGGGCACGCAUGUGCACGUCUGUGCAUACGUGUGCAUUCCUAUGUAUACUAAGAGCUGUCCGUCCAGGCAUGGGUAUGGCAGAGUUACUAUAAAAGAGCAAAAGCUAGGGAUGAUAGUGGAAAUUCGAGAAUGACACUGGGGACCAGCAAGAUGGCUAGGUGGGUAAAGGUGCUUGCUGCCAAGUCUGACAACCCGAGUUCGAUCCCCAGAACACCAUGUGAUGGAAGGGAAGGACUAACUCCUGUGACAUCCAUGUGAGCACUGUGAUCACGUGUAACACACACACACACACACAUACACACACACACACAGAGAGAGAGAGAGAGAGAGAGAGAGAGAGAGAGAGAGAGAGAGAAUUAAAAAGAAGAAAGGCCAUAGAUCACCUGUCUCAAUAACAGAAUAACAACUACAGGCGCCACUGAGUGGACAGUACAAGUGAGCUAAGCUCACUCCUUCUUUCUCCUAAAGCCUGGAAAAAAAUACUGUACUGACAGCAAAUAGUGUUGGAGAAACGCCACGAGGGUUUUGGAUUUAUCUUAGGAUAUCAAGGCCCGAGGCGGGGAGAAGGACAGCCUCACCCAGGUGAGGUGGGAGUAUCAGGCCGUUUCAUUUGCAUGUUAAAAACGGUGAUAUCAAUCUAUAGAGAGGCACUGUUAAAAGCCCUUUAAUGAACGUAAUUAAGUCAUUUGAUCUUCCCAGCAACCCCACAAAGUAGAGACUGUUAUCAUCCCCAUCUCUUCAGAUGAGGAACGGAAGGCAUCCAGCUGUCCAGUCAGCUUUCUCAGAGUCGCACAGCCAAGUACACUGGAUGUAAGCCCCAGAGACCGUGUUCUUAACCCCUGAGCCCCAAGCAGGUGAGCUGGGGCAUAUGAGUCUUCAUAAGGUCACCGUAUCACCAUGUCUACUUAGUGCUUUCAAUAUUUUCCACUUCCAGACGUAAUAGACACUUCUGCGCAUCUAAUUUUUCUCUUCCGUUGAAUCACCUCUUCAGGACUGCCUCCUGUAAAUGGCAUGACUCUGUCCCUGGUGAUAAAACACUUUACAGUCGUGGUUACAUGUUGCAUUUGCCAAACAGGCAGCACCAGUUUACGACGUUGUUACCAGGGGACGACUUUGCCACUUUCACCACCACCAUAAGGAGCAGAGGGAGAAUCACCGUCGACAUAAACACCCAAGUCUAUCGCAUUUAAAUUUAAUAGACGCACAGCUGGUUGUUGGCAAUUUGCAGCAUGUGACGUGGCUAAUAGCCGUUCAGCUGGGAUUCUCUCUGAGUUCCAGGCCUUUUCGUUCACCACAUCGGGUUAGCCGGAGUUGAGCUUUCAGCCUUCAUUGUUCUUGGCCCUGUGGUCCCAGUCUAUGCAGAACAGCAGAGAUGUUGGGACCUGUAAUUAUCAGUCCCAUUGUGCGAGACAGGUUACAUCCUACUGCUCAGCCUGGAGCAUGUGUGCACUUCUACAGACUGUCCUGGACCAGCUUUCUCUCUGCAUCCCAAAGCUCAGCCUAGGACAUGAUGGACCCCGGGAGGAUUUGUUUACCGGAUGGCUUGGAAAAGAAAAAAUUCUCCCACAGCCUGCCCGAAAACCUCCACAUGCUGAGGGUACACACUCGAAAUGGAGAGUCUGAGAACUCGAACUCUUGUUUUUCUGAAUGCACAGGCAGCCUUUCAUACUGAUAGGGAAUUGGCUCCAGGACUCUUCCAGAGACUCGACUCCUGGAUGUUCAAGUCCUUCAGGUAGAAUGCUUCAGUCGACGCAUGUAAUGUGUGCAGUGCUCUUGUAUGCUCCAACCGCAUACUUAGAAUGCUUAACCACAUGCUUAGAAGGAGAACCUCGAGGUCUUGCUCCCAGACUAACACAAGGGAGGAGGCUGUUAGUGAUCCGGACAGCCGCAUGCUUUUUCCUGAAUGUUUUUGACUGGUCUCAAUCUACAGACAUGGAUAAGGCCUUAGGAUCUUGUUCAUGGGAAACCUGUGGCCAGUGGGGUCCACUGUCUUUCUUCUCCGUUAUGCAUAGCAGAUGCCCUUUCCUCCACGCUGUGGCUCUGCUGCCUUUCCACUUUCCAAACGAAACCAAGGCUGUGUCCGAGGAGGAGUUUGGUGAAGGUUUCGGUGACAUUGGAUACCUGCUGCUUAGACGUUCUGGUUUUAUCACUGAGAAUCCAGAAGAACCCUUGGGCCCUGGUUUUCUCUCUGAGUGGUUGAUUUCUCUAGCACAAGAGAAGCUGGCAGACAAAUUCACCGUAACGAGAUUAAGGUCUGAGUCCCACCCACCGUGUGACCGGAUUGGCUGUGUUGGGACAUAUUGAUGUUAGAGCUACAUGGUGUGAAACAGAUCAAAGUUUUGUUUUGUCUUCAUUCAAAAACUGUAAAAAGAAUUAUUUCAA